ACAAUAUAUUUGACAGUAAAUGAAUCCAACUUUAUGUUAAUGGUUAAUCUGUGAAUCAGUUUGUACAGAUUUUCUGCUGUUUUGCAUUUUCAAAUCAGAUGACCAAAUAUAAUCAGUUCUUGUUGCAGUAGAAGCAAUUUAUAUCAUGUAAUGUAACCAUAGUUUUCAUAGUGUGUGUCAGAGAGAAAGCAUUUGAAAUUUGUCAGCCAUUUUUCAACACAGUAUGCCAUGUGAUACUGUAAACAAUGGCCUUACCAUAGUAGAGACUGGCAAAUUACAGUAUGUUACCCUUCAUCAGAAAAUAUCAACUAGCACAGACAUACAGUGAGAACUUUGUCAAGGAAACCAUUACUGAACAUCUGCUGGCUGUUUAGCAUAGUAACACAGUAGACAGCAAAUGGCAUUAAUGUAUAUAUUAUUAAUGCUAACAAAAUACUGUAUUGGCAACAUAAUCUGUUCUACUCUCAAAAUAAACACUUUGGACUUUGUAUCAAGUCAAAUGGAAAGUGUUUAAUUUUUUAAUUUUAAUUUUAAAUCAUACAAUUUGGUUUCUGUGAUUGCUGAUAGUUUUGACCGGGAUAUUGUUAUCCAGUCAUUUAGAGUGCAUUAUGAAUCAGCUGUGCAAGUAUAUUAUAAGUUAUGUAUAAGUUAUAUAUUAUGUUUAUACCUCAUGUUCUUUUUACUUCAGAGAGUGGACUUUGGUGGAUAGCUCUCAUCGUGCUCUUACUAAUAUUGAUACUGGCCCUCCCUAUUGUUUUUGUUCUCCUGUAUAAGUUAUUGCCAAUGUUUCAUGACAGCGUUUACACAAAUUUUAAAGACAAACCAUGUAUUGGAGGGUUUUUGAACCUGCUGGAUGGAAAGAAGAAUAGUGAAUAUAAACCACCUGAGGCGGGACAAGGAAAAAGUACCGGUAAGAAAAAUAAAUCUGUUACAAGAAAUCUAGAAAUAUCUGAAACAUGUUCUCAGUGA
rnacentral:lncRNA from 1 species